CUGGCUCAGAACGAACGCUGGCGGCGUGCUUAACACAUGCAAGUCGAACGCGAAAGGGACUUCGGUCCUGAGUAAAGUGGCGCACGGGUGAGUAACGCGUAGAUAACCUGUCUUCAUGUCUGGAAUAAUACGCCGAAAGGGGUACUAAUACCGGAUAUUCUUGCUUUUCAUAAGUUAUGCAAGCAAAGGUGGCCUCUGCAUAUGCUACUGCAUGAAGAGGGGUCUGCGUACCAUUAGCUAGUAGGUGGGGUAAUGGCCUACCUAGGCGACGAUGGUUAGCGGGUCUGAGAGGAUGAUCCGCCACACUGGCACUGGAACACGGGCCAGACUCCUACGGGAGGCAGCAGUGAGGAAUAUUGCGCAAUGGGGGAAACCCUGACGCAGCGACGCCGCGUGAGUGAGGAAGGCCUUCGGGUCGUAAAGCUCUGUCAAGAGGAAAGAAGUGUACAAUGGCUAAUACCUGUUGUAUUUGACGGUACCUCUAAAGGAAGCACCGGCUAACUCCGUGCCAGCCGCCGC
rnacentral:rRNA from 1 species